rnacentral:lncRNA from 1 species
GUUUCAUUGAGUUGUCAUAAAGCAAGAACUCAGCCCAGCACCUGGAGAGACCUCAAAUGCGUUGUUACUAUCAUCGCCCUUCUCUUCCUUUCACAGAUGAGGAAACUGAGUCUCAGAGAAGUCGAGGGACUGGCUCAGAGAUGUACAGCAUGGCAUUGCUGGAGCCGGCCUGGAAGACAAGCAGUCUCCCUCCAAUUGCACACUGUUUUCUCUGAGGCUCUGCAUUGUUGGAGGAAGGGUCAGAGGGGCUGGAGAGGAAGAAACAAUGCAAAUAUGAGGCAGCAGAAGGGAAAUAGAGAUCAUUCUCCUCUGGGUCUCUGCUCACAGACCUUCCAUCAAGAAAUUCACUACAGUGUGUUGGAACAGUCUAUGUACCUGACUACCACACAAGGGCUGUUGUAAGGAUCAAAUGGCAUCAUGAAUGGAGGGUACCAAGUCCUGCACCCAGCCUGCAGUGACUAGCACCUGCUCCCUGCUGAACAUGGUGGCUGGGGCUGGACAUGGUCCUUGGGGGUGUGAUCUGAGCAGCCUGCAGCAUUCUGGGCCUUUCAACUGCCGCAUCCUGGUACCAGUCUCAUGCUUCCUGGUACCCUACAGAUGGCUGUCUCCUGGUGGAGUCACCAGGUUGGAGGGGUCCUCAGAAUGCCAACAGAACAGAGCAGCCCUGAGCUCCGGCACCUGUCACUGUGGCUUGACUGGAUACAUAUCUCCAGACCAAGGCAAGCAUCUCUGGCAGAACCCACUGUGGAGAUCCUAAAUUGGCACCCCGUAGAGUGAGCUGUCUGAUUCUACAAAGGCAGUAUUUCUAGGUUUCAAAGGAACUGAAUAAUUUAAAAUGCACAAGACAAAAAGUGGGAUUAAGGUGAUCUGAUAGGCUCUCCAGGCUGGGGUAUCAAUUAUAC